rnacentral:rRNA from 1 species
AGCGAACGCUGGCGGCAGGCUUAACACAUGCAAGUCGAACGGGCACUUCGGUGCUAGUGGCAGACGGGUGAGUAACACGUGGGAACGUACCUUUCGGUUCGGAAUAAUACAGGGAAACUUGUACUAAUACCGGAUACGCCCUUCGGGGGAAAGAUUUAUCGCCGAUAGAUCGGCCCGCGUCUGAUUAGCUAGUUGGUGAGGUAAUGGCUCACCAAGGCGACGAUCAGUAGCUGGUCUGAGAGGAUGAUCAGCCACACUGGGACUGAGACACGGCCCAGACUCCUACGGGAGGCAGCAGUGGGGAAUAUUGGACAAUGGGCGAAAGCUUGAUCCAGCCAUGCCGCGUGAGUGAUGAAGGCCUUAGGGUUGUAAAGCUCUUUUGUCCGGGAAGAUAAUGGCUGUACCGGAAGAAUAAGCCCCGGCUAACUUCGUGCCAGCCGCCGCAGUAA